rnacentral:rRNA from 1 species
AUGAGUGGAGAAAUGCAAGCAGCAGAACGGCAAAACAGAAAAGCAGUGCAGAUGCCUACCACAAGAGAAGCUGAUGGCAAAGGAAAAGGUAUAGCAGAAGAAAGUUCAGACUCAUCAGACAGCGAUAGCGAUGAAGAACCGAUGGACCCAAGUGUUCGGCUAGGCCUUAAUUUGAUGAGGGCUGAUAGGAGAGGAAGGCCCACCCUAGUACAGAACGCGCACACUGGGCUUACAAUUGGAGAUGAUGGAGGCCGAUCCCGCGUUACAGGACCACGAAGCAUGAACCGGCUCAGGCAACGGCUACAGCCUAGGAUUAGCAACGGUGGUGACACAUUGUCAACCAUGGCACGAGAGUCCGCUCAAACCUCGCGGAGAGCUGCAGUGCUUCGUAGCAGGGGGGACUACCUCAGAGCCGAGCUACAAGAUCUCGAGGCUCAAGCGAAAGCAAACCUUGAAUACGGUGCAAUUCAUGGAAUUCUACCAUCUCGUAGAGGAUCAUCAUCUGCCAAAGUUGAUGUGCGUGCUGACGGGGAAUCAGACCCAGAAAGGAGGGAGCGCGUGCGGAGUUUAUCUGCCGCUGCACUAGCUGUGGUAGAACAAGCAAUUGGCAAUCCAGAACUUUUUGAAGGCAUCUUUGAGCAGGCUCGGGUGAUGCUUUCGGACCUAGGGGUGGAUGGGUACAAAGAAGAUCAUCGGACAGAGGUUGAUGGAAAUGAUGGAAACACGGCACAGAUAGCUGCUGAUGAUCGCAUAAACUGGGAAGAGCUGGAACAUAGCAGCCAGGAACACCGUCAGCAUAAUGGCGUUCCGGCUUUGGGGGAGAUGAUUGUAGAUGACAGCAACCUAAUAGCGCUUGUGAAUGCAAGUGAGCAGGCAGCGGCAAGACGCGGUCCGUUUUGUGAGAAUGUGAACAACAUAGACGGAAGGAAUCUACUGCCAAUGUUUGAUGAGGACGAUGCAGACGACGAUUCAUCAGAUGUACCACCAGGGGUUCCUACUGAGUACAUAAUAGAUGAAGAUGAAUCAACGGACUUGGAUGAAGAGUUCCUUGCCGUGGCAUCACAAGUGCCGACCGACUACAUGGGUGAAGUUGAGCCAACUGAUGAUGGAUCAGAUUUAGUGGGAUUGAAUAAUAUAACUGAUUUUCUAGCUUCCUGUAACACAUCCAUCCGGUGGAUCGCGUGGAUAAGAGCUGUGCUUGUAGUUGGAAGCGGACGGGAAGGAGAUGAGUUGGACGAAGACCCACCGUUGAACGGCCUCAUCUUGCUAGGCUGGCAUGGCGUUGAUGACAACUCGGAUGGUGAACGUGAUGGGAAAAGGAAACGUUCGCUUGAGCAACGGAGGACCCGUGGACAUGUCUUUGAUGUUGCUCCAACCUGUCGUCCCGGUCCUUCCUUUCAUCGUGAUAAUGGAGGUGAUUGCCGCAAAAGCAUAGAUAGCAGUUAG